CAGCAGCCGCGGGAAUGCGUAGGUGGCAAGCGUUGUCCGGAAUUAUUGGGCGUAAAGCGCGCGCAGGCGGAUAGGUCAGUCUGUCUUAAAAGUUCGGGGCUUAACCCCGUGAUGGGAUGGAAACUGCCAAUCUAGAGUAUCGGAGAGGAAAGUGGAAUUCCUAGUGUAGCGGUGAAAUGCGUAGAUAUUAGGAAGAACACCAGUGGCGAAGGCGACUUUCUGGACGAAAGCUGACGCUGAGGCGCGAAAGCCAGGGGAGCGAACGGGAUUAGAUACCCGGGUAGUCCCUGUCUCUUAUACA
rnacentral:rRNA from 1 species